ACAGAUGUUUACAAUGAUGCUGAGGAGAUACUCUCCAGUGCAUUCUCUGAGUGGGAGGUGAUUUUAUGUACAUCAAAUAGCCUGGAUCUGGUUUGGGCUCAAGUUUUAUCUGAUCCAUUUCUGCGGUGUCUUAUUAUCAGAUUUAUAUUCUGCCGUUCUGUCCUAUCAUACUUCUGUCCUCAAAGAGAUAAUGAGCAAUAUCUGCCUGUUUGCCUGCC
rnacentral:misc_RNA from 1 species